UAAUCUGAGGGUCCAGGGUUCAAGUCC
rnacentral:piRNA from 2 species